rnacentral:rRNA from 1 species
AUUGAACGCUGGCGGCAGGCCUAACACAUGCAAGUCGAACGAGUGGCGGACGGGUGAGUAAUGUCUGGGAAACUGCCCGAUGGAGGGGGAUAACUAUUGGAAACGGUAGCUAAUACCGCAUACCAUCGGAUGUGCCCAGAUGGGAGUUGCUCGUGGGUGGGGUAACGGCUCACCUAGGCGACGAUCCCUAGCUGGUCUGAGAGGAUGACCAGCCACACUGGAACUGAGACACGGGCCAGACUCCUACGGGAGGCAGCAGUGGGGAAUAUUGCACAAUGGGCGCAAGCCUGAUGCAGCCAUGCCGCGUGUAUGAAGAAGGCCUUCGGGUUGUAAAGUACUUUCAGCGAGGAGGCGUUACUCGCAGAAGAAGCACCGGCUAACUCCGUGCCAGCAGCCGCGGUAAUAC